rnacentral:rRNA from 1 species
UACGAAGGGGGCUAGCGUUGUUCGGAAUUACUGGGCGUAAAGCGCACGUAGGCGGAUCGAUCAGUCAGGGGUGAAAUCCCGCAGCUCAACUGCGGAACUGCCUUUGAUACUGUCGGUCUAGAGUAUGGAAGAGGUGAGUGGAAUUCCGAGUGUAGAGGUGAAAUUCGUAGAUAUUCGGAGGAACACCAGCGGCGAAGGCGGCUCACUGGUCCAUUACUGACGCUGAGG